GGUAUGGGGGAGUUGAGGAAUCUUCUUCGUGAGUUGCCAGUUGCAAACUUCAAUCUACUCAACUUUAUCUGCCAGUUUCUAAAUGAGGUCCAGAGUUACUCCAACAGUAACAAGAUGAGCAGCCAGAACUUGGCCACUGUGUUUGGGCCAAACAUCCUCCGAGCCAAAGCUGAAGACCCACAAAGCAUCAUGGGAGGUAAACAUACAAGCUGCACAGCAGAUGAGAUGAGAUGAGAUGUAAAACACAAGCAGUGUAAUUAAUGUUUGGAAAAUACUGAACCUAUGAUGGCAAAUGGAAAGAAGACUAUGCUGCAGUGUUUUUGCAGAUAAAAUUAUUAUUAAAACUGGGUCUCCAUUUUAACCAAUGUGAAUCCAAGCUGAGUAUAGAGUCCACACUCUGAUCUCUAUCUGUGUCCUAGGUGCAACACUGGUUCAGGUGCUGAUGUUGGAGCUGAUCAGAGAGCAUGAGUCUCUAUUCGCCAAAGUCCCCCCGUCCAUCUCUGUCCGUCCACCUUGUGGUUCGCGUGCAUCACCAAGUGCUCUGCGGCAGCCUCAUCUCGACCCGUCACCCUGCCUCCGCCAGCUGUCUAUGCCUCUCAUUGCAGAUCGCUCUAGAGAGCCAGGACAGGCCGCCGCAGAUGCACAGAACAACAGAAGGUACAACACACCCGCUCUCACAGAAAUUUGCAAUACAAACAUCUCACAGACUCAUACCUCCCUUUCUUUGCCAUCUAUAGCUGUUUCUACUCUGCUGCUGCCACAUCAAACUUGUCCUCUGGCCAGAAGAGACUUCUCGGCCAUCGCUACACUUCCUCCCACCCCGAGAACUGCUUUUACCCCGUGCCCUCCUCCAGUCAGCACCAAGCCAACAUAGAUUAUCACCAGCACCACGCUCACCAAGGACCAUCAGCUACAAAUAUUCAAGCCUCUACAACCAGCCUCCAGCUUCAAGAUCCACUACCUGACAGCUCCAAGUCCAGACCGAUGCCCAUGGGAUGGGCAAAGGCCUGGCCAACCCCAGCAGAGGCAGGUGCUGGUUUCUGGAGCUCUGGUGGUGCAGAGGAAGAGGGAACAGUGCCAGAAACAGCCAGCGCAGGCAGCAGUGAGGCUCAGGAGGACAGCCCCCUUUCUGCCUAUGAUAACCUGGACAGAGUGUCUCAAAGUCAGAAAAUAGAGGAUGUCACUGGUGGACUUCUUGAAACCAAUGAUCUGGGAGGCCAUACUGGAACUUGUGAAGUGGAGGUGGAGCUAGAGGAGGCAGGGCAAACAAGGAACUCCUCCUCUUCCUGGUCUUCCUGCGAGGUUCUACCAUUGGACGAGAGCGGUGAUGCUGUGGCCAUGGUUAGUCCUGACAUCUCACCAAAGCGACCUAAAUGGUUGCCUUCAAGUCAGGUAGGAAAAGAGGAAAACAGUCAUAAAGAGGAACAAGAGGGCCAAAACAAUGACAGUGAUGAUGAGGAUGAAGAUGACAAUGAGGAUGAUGAUGAUUACAUCCACCCUAACUCCCCAGCCUCUGGUUCUAUACUCAGCCCUCUGAGUACAGGCAGCUCAGAGGUAUUCCUCCCCUCUGCUCCUCCAGACCUCCAUGAUCCUGAGACUCAGUCACAUCCCGGGGAUGCUCACCCACGUCUGGAUGAGCUGCGGCAGCUGAUGGCCCAGCAGAAGGCUGAGUACCAGGCCAGGAUACAGAGGUUGGAGCGCUGUAAUGACGUCCUCGAGCGGCAGGUUGCAGUACUGCGGGUCAGUCUUGAGCAGCAGAAGCGUAGCCAAAGUGUUGCUGAGAUCAAGAUUCGCAACAUGGAACAAGCCAAAGCUGAUGCUGACCUCCAAAACUCCACGCUGCAGAGAGAGAUGGAGAUGUUCUUCCAGAUGUAUGGAGAGUUCAGAAGAAGAGGAGGAGACGAAGGCGGAAGAGGAGGAGGGAGUCUCUGAAGAUAAAAAGAGAAAGAGGAAUUCUUUGAAGUGCAUGGAUAGGUCAGAGGAGAAUAAAAAAGAAGGGAGGGUUUGUUUCACAGAGCUUGUUGAAAGGGAUGGAUGACUCUUGAUAGGAGAUCCAACAUUAAGGAAGGCGGUGAAGGCAUCACAUCAUGAAGAAAAACAGAGCGUUAUUACAGUCCAGAAGACAACCUAAAUACAAGACAGUUGUGUGUCAUUUCAACCAGUUAGCCUCAAGCCAGGUUGGUUAAGUUCAUGGUGACCAGAAGAUGGCAAGAAAGUUUGAAUUUGAGGAGCAGUUCCAUUGGCAAGCUCCUUCACCUGUGCAUUGAAUAUAACUUCCCCAUCGUGGGCUGUUUGAUUGGUUUAUUGGAGCAACAGAGGGACACGCUUAAGUCUCUUCCUGCUUUACGCAAACCAGUUACCAAGCUGUGUCUUUCCAGGAAGCCUGGGACAAGGUAUUAUUCCACAUAAAACCAAGUCUCCUUUGAGAAACCAAACGCCAUUCUGAGCUGUUCCUGAACAGCAAAGAUCUAGAAGAGUACUGGAAACCAAAAGCUUGUCCGAACUAUUGGACUUUCAAGGUUUCAGAACUGCUGUACUGCUCACACUGACUAUUAUCAUGUUGAUAUGGGGGUUCACAACCCACACAACGGAUCUCAGAUGAUUGCAAGAUUAUUAGUUAGUUAGAGAGAACUGCGACUGGAGUGCAUGAUGCCGGGAUUCCAGCUCAAAGUCAGUACACAUAACGCAAGGGAACACUAGCACGGGUAUUUGCCCUCUUCGAAGCCAUGUGUUGUUUUAGAGUGUUUUCUACCUCCAUUUUUCCCCAAAGCCGAUUUCUUGACAAUCUUAUUGGGUACUGCCCAGACUGUCUCAGAUUUGUCCCCAGGAACAAAUGUAACCUGUUUUUGGCUACAAUAAAAUUAAAAAUGCUCCAUUUGCAACGUUGUAGCAUCUCAGGACAAGAUCAAGAGGCUCAAACUAGACAAAUUGUUGGGAUGGGAAAUAACGUGGAUUCUCUUCCGACUCCAUGGGUUUCAGUCUCAGAUCUCCAAAAUGUAUCUAGGACAAGAAAAUCCUAGCCAAAGUUGUGUUGUCUGCAUUCAACUUCAAAGAACUUCAAUAGUCUCCGAGGACAAUCCUUGAUGUACAAUCCUUUUAGUUUGAAGUUCAUGUGGGAAAUUCAUACAAGAUUUCUCAACCCUGAGGUGUCCUAAGGUCGGUUGUUCACAGCUCAGCUCUGACCAAAGUCAGUGGGAGUUCUGGCUGUGAACAAAAUGCAGCAUUGCAUCUUAUCUUUGCUGUGAUAAAUGGAGGGAUUUAUAUGCAUUAUUAAAGCAAUCUGGUUUACUUUAGGAUAAAGACCUCAGAAUCCCCUGGAUGUUUUCCAACUGGCUACCACUGUUAACAAUAAGAUAUGGACUUGCUACUAUACUAAAUUACUUGUUUUUUUUCAGGAACUAGACUGACUUGCUUUGCAGGAAUUCAUUUAGAAUGAAACUGCAUCUCUAACAGAUUCUAGGUGAAGAUAAUUUUGUUGACUGAAAGUGUACAAAUAAAGAUACCAGAAGUUCUGUUCACUCCGCAUGAAAAUGCUUUCCCAAUAAAACACUGUUACACUUUACCUGAAAAAUAAACUUUAAAUCCUCGUUCACAGAAAAUUCAAUCAAAGAAUCUUUUCAGUGUAUUUGUCAGUUUUGAACAUUCAUGUGUCUAGUGGGGAUUGUUGACUGUAAAAUCAGAUUGUCUUCUGGAAUACACAGGUUGAAAAUAACAGCUGACUUAUUUCAGUUUUGUUUGUCCACAAUAUUCUGUUAAAUGUGACUGAUGUGGAGGAUAAGACCGGCAGAAAGCUCCUCUCCGACUGAUGAUGGAGGAACAGUGAGCUAAAUGCCAAAAAGGACAUUAUAUACCUUCCAUUGAGGAAGCAGUUUUGUUUAUUAUUAUUAUUGAGAUAAACCUGAUUUUCUUUAUUCUUAAUUACGUGCUGUAGAAAAAAUAAGAUGAGACCUUUUGUUACUGAAUGGUGAACUGAUGUCUACACGCUGAAAUAAAUGACUACAGAUCCACAGGGAAUAUUCACAUGGCAGACAGUUUAAUAUAACUGUUCUGCUUGGUCAAACUCAGUGGAAGGAAACAGUGGAGAUGCCAAUCUGCUCUAAAAAAAAGAAGACACUUUUGACUUUUGUUUUUCUGAUGGAAAUGUAACAUUUAUUCUCAAUUUUCAAACUGUUGAGGCAAAGAAAAAGAAAACAGUACAGAGACUAUACAAAUCAAAGAAAAUGUCUCUGAACAUCCACUGGGAAAAAUGUGGAACAGAAACAGAAACUGUAAUAGACUCACACUACCAUACAGAUGUGAUACUUCAGUCAGGGAGAGAUUUAAAGGGAACAGCGUCACUUUAAACACAGAGCACUUGUGAACACAAACUAGGUAACAACAAAAUUGAACAGAGCAGAAACAGUCAUAUUCAUUUAAUAUUUACAGCUGCUGACAGCAGAGUGUGUUUUCUGUCCAGCUUUAAGAUCGUUUGUCAAGAUGAAAAGAAAACUGACAACAUUUGACUGACACCACAGCAGUUACAAGUGGCAAAUUACUUGCAUUUGAAAUAUUUACCCCAUAAAACAGACAACCUCUUCCACUGCUGUGGUACAAUACACAGAUCACGAGCCAACUUAAUAAUGAAAGUGCAAUAACAACAACGACCAGCCCUACAUUUCAUUUAACAGGUGAAUCAUAGUGCUUAUUAAGCAGUUUGAAGCUUCUCACACAGACACAGACACACACACACACACACUCUUGCAGGGACCUUGUAUGAAUAUGCAUUUAUUAGCAGUAAGCUAGCACUUCUAAAAUAAACCCUGUAUUUCAGUCAUUUUAUGUUAUUGUAAGGCAAGGUGUUUCCCUUUUUCUGAGUGACACAAGGUUUCUGCAGGAUGUGGCCAGUGUGCACACCAGUGGUCUCUUCAGUCAGUUAAGCACCAAAACUCAUCAGAAACAGAAACAGGAAUCCUUCAUAUGUGACCAUGGGUAGAAAAAAACAGAGCUCACACACCGAACCUUUAAAAGAGGUUCAAAACCUCUUCUUCUUUUUGGUUCUUUUAACUUCUCUGUUUUGACUCCAGUAAUGGAAACACUGGACCAUGUCAAUGUUUGAGUCUUGAGUCACAUGUAGCUCUGAUUUCUGCACACACACGCACACACCAGGUGGGCAUUUUUUUUCUUCUGAUCCUACAAGGAACAAAAUUUGUUGCUACAGUAGCAGAUAAAAAAAAAAAAAACAUCUUAAUCUCUACAUUAAAACACACAAAAGUAUAAUGCAAAACAAAUGGAACGUUUCAGUGAGCAGGAGUCUGCCAAAUUUCCAAGAUUUCCUGAGACAAAAUUUGUACAAUUUUCUAUGGAUCUUUUUUGUUCUGUUGGUUUUAUUCGUAUUAAACUACACUUAAGCCAUUUGUUAGACGUAUUAAUCCCACCCUGCUUAGUGAAAUGCCCCUUUAAGAAGACAAUGAAAAAGAGACAGACAGGAUGUAAAGACUAUCAACUCUGAAGCAGAGGAGGUUUUUUAUCACAUUACUUUGCACCCUGGUGAGCAGAUAAUAGAGCUAGUCUCUGUGGUGGGAAGAGUGGGGAUAAAGUGCAUUUACAGGGAUA
rnacentral:lncRNA from 1 species